rnacentral:rRNA from 1 species
UACGUAGGGUGCAAGCGUUUAAUCGGAAUUACUGGGCGUAAAGCGUGCGCAGGCGGUUUUGUAAGUCUGUCGUGAAAUCCCCGGGCUCAACCUGGGAAUUGCGAUGGAGACUGCAAGGCUUGAAUCUGGCAGAGGGGGGGUAGAAUUCCACGUGUAGCAGUGAAAUGCGUAGAGAUGUGGAGGAACACCGAUGGCGAAGGCAGCCCCCUGGGUCAAGAUUGACGCUCAUGCACGAAAGCGUGGGGAGCAAACAGG